AUUGAACGCUGGCGGCAUGCCUAACACAUGCAAGUCGAACGCGAAAGGGCUUCGGCCUGAGUAGAGUGGCGGACGGGUGAGUAAUGCGUGGGAAUCUGCCCUGCAGUGGGGGACAACCCGGGGAAACUCGGGCUAAUACCGCAUACGUCCUAAGGGAGAAAGGGGGCCUUCGGGCUCUCGCUGCAGGAUGAGCCCACGUCCGAUUAGCUAGUUGGUGAGGUAAAGGCCCACCAAGGCGAUGAUCGGUAGCCGGCCUGAGAGGGCGGACGGACACACUGGGACUGAGACACGGCCCAGACUCCUACGGGUGGCAG
rnacentral:rRNA from 1 species